AUCUGAAACCAGACCACCUUUUGAUCAAAAUCAAACUGAUUUUAUUCACCAUGUAAGUUUAAAAUGAUUGCAAAGACUGUUUUUGUGCUUGGGCAAAGUCUUUGUCAAUUUUUUAAUGGCCAAGUAUUUAGGAAGUCACAUGCAUAAUGAUGUAAUCUGUUACUUUUUUGUUUAUGAAUUAUGUUUUGUUUUAUGCUUUGAGUUCUUGUUAUUUGUAAAGAGUCCUACAUUUUGAUAUGUAAAAUUGAAUGGUUUGUUUCAGUAUUGAAAGAAAUACAGAUUUUUUUUCAUUCUCUUUAUUGAUUUCAACCAGUUCUGGCUAAUACAUAGUUUUUAACGGAUGCAGAGCCUGUUGGUUUUGAUAAUGUAUGAUGAAGAAAGACCUUUUGAAAUAAAAAAGAAUACAAUUUGAAUAAUUCAUUCCAUAAUAAUUGAUUACACAUUCCUAUACAUAAUGUUGUCUUCCAGAUUAACCAGUGACGGAAACAUUCUAAUAUUAUACAGCUGAUUUUUAUACAUGUAUAUUGAAUUGGGUAUUUUUAAACCCAGAUUUUCAAAUGAUUCCUUCAUUGUUACAUGUAUUGCAUACAAUAAUGGAAACAUAGCGUGCUGUUGAUGAUCAUCAUCAUCAUGACGUUUUAUUAUGUUUAUACUCUAUGUAUAUAUACACGCCAUUUUUCUCAAAUAAAGUUAUAUUUAAUAUAUGUAUUUGCAAUAUAUUCCUACGUAUGUUUUGCUUGUAUUUGGGUAUAACCCUGUAUUCGUAAAAUAAAAAAAUGAGAUU
rnacentral:sRNA from 1 species